rnacentral:rRNA from 1 species
CCUACGGGAGGCAGCAGUGGGGAAUUUUGGACAAUGGGCGAAAGCCUGAUCCAGCCAUUCCGCGUGCAGGACGAAGGCCUUCGGGUUGUAAACUGCUUUUGUGCGGAACGAAAAAGCUCUUACUAAUACUAGGAGUCCAUGACGGUACCGUAAGAAUAAGCACCGGCUAACUACGUGCCAGCAGCCGCGGUAAUACGUAGGGUGCGAGCGUUAAUCGGAAUUACUGGGCGUAAAGCGUGCGCAGGCGGUUAUAUAAGACAGAUGUGAAAUCCCCGGGCUCAACCUGGGAACUGCAUUUGUGACUGUAUAGCUAGAGUGCGGCAGAGGGGGAUGGAAUUCCGCGUGUAGCAGUGAAAUGCGUAGAUAUGCGGAGGAACACCGAUGGCGAAGGCAAUCCCCUGGGCCUGCACUGACGCUCAUGCACGAAAGCGUGGGGAGCAAACAGGAUUAGAUACCCUGGUAGUCCACGCCCUAAACGAUGUCAACUGGUUGUUGGGUCUUCACUGACUCAGUAACGAAGCUAACGCGUGAAGUUGACCGCCUGGGGAGUACGGCCGCAAGGUUGAAACUCGAAAGGAUUGACGGCUGAGACGNGACGAGGCGACGACGAGGGAGGAG